AUUCCAUGAUGAGGAUAGGAGAGGAUAUAUUCCUGCAACCUCUCCCAAGCUUCUAGGAUUGAUUCCAAUCCCGACUGCUGAAAGCUGGAAAUCUUCCCGCGUAGAGC